rnacentral:rRNA from 1 species
AUGCAUCCAGAGUCCACCAAUUUUUGUUUCUUGCAGUGCUCGAGCGGCGCCGCGAUGGAGUCACACGCCGUUCCUAGCGAGCAGCCCGCGUACAAGCCGCUGCCAUCCACCGUCAACGAGGACGCCCAUGAGCAUCAGAGCGGCGGCAUGAGGUGGCGUGCGUGCGCUGCCUUGCUGGCGGCCUCAGCCGUGGUGCUGGUGGUGGUGCUGGUCACCGCCACCACGCCGGGAGGAGGAGCCAGGGUGGACCAGGCGUCGGUCAAUGGCGCCGACGAGGAUGCCGGCGGGUUCCCGUGGAGCAACGAGAUGCUGCAGUGGCAGCGAGCCACGUUCCAUUUCCAGCCCGAGAAGAACUUCAUGAGCGAUCCCAACGGUUUGGUAUACUACCGUGGAUGGUACCACAUGUUCUACCAGUACAACCCGAAGGGUAUUGCUUGGGCCUUUGGCAUUUUGUGGGGCCAUGCCGCGUCCCGAGACAUCGUCCACUGGUGCCAACUUCCAUUAGCUGUGCUUCCUGACCAGUGGUAUGACAUCCAAGGUGUCUUGUCAGGCACCAUCACUGUGCUUCCUAACGGCACACUCAUCAUGCUCUACACUGGUGCCACCAAUGUAUCCACCGUUGAGGUCCAGUGCGUUGCCGUCCCCGACGACCCAAACGAUCCCCUCCUCCGCCGCUGGACCAAGCACCCCGCCAACCCCGUCCUCUUCUCGCCACCGUGGAUCAGCACCAACGACUUCCGAGACCCCACCUCCGCGUGGUAUGAUGGCUCUGAUCACACAUGGCGCACCGUCCUCGGGUCCAAGGAUGACCACAAUGGUCACCACGCUGGCAUCGCCUUCAUGUACAAGACUAAGGACUUCCUUAACUAUGAGCUCGUCCCGGGUAUCUUGCACCGUGUCGAGAACACCGGCGAGUGGGAGUGCAUCGACUUCUACCCGGUCGGUGGCGGCAACAACUCAUCAGAAGUGUUGUACGUGCUGAAGGCGAGCAUGGACGAUGAACGACAUGACUACUACUCACUGGGGAGGUACGACGCGGCGGCAAACACAUGGACCCCAGUGGACCCUGAGGCCGACUUGGGGAUCGGGCUAAGGUACGACUGGGGCAAGCUUUAUGCAUCCAGCUCAUUCUAUGAUCCGGUGAAGCGGCGGCGCAUUAUGAUGGGUUAUGUCGGUGAGGUCGACUCCGCGAAGGCCGACGUAGCCAAAGGAUGGGCCUCAAUCCAGUCAGUUCCAAGGACGGUGGCUCUGGACGAGAAAACCAGGACAAACCUCCUCUUAUGGCCUGUGGAGGAGAUCGAGACCCUUCGCCUCAAUGCCACCGAACUCAGCGACAUCACCAUUGAAACUGGCUUUGUCUUCUAUGUCCCGCUCAGCCAAGCUGAUCAACUCGACAUCGAGGCCUCCUUCCGCCUCGACGCUUCUGCUAUCGCUGCCCUCAAUGAGGCCGACAUCGGCUACAACUGCAGCAACAGCGGUGGUGCUGCCUCCCGCGGUGCGCUUGGCCCCUUUGGCCUCAUCGUCCUUGCAUCCAGCGACUGUUGUGGUGAGCAGACGGCAGUGUACUUCUAUGUGUCCAGGGGCCUCGACGGGGCCCUUCAGACCAAUUUUUGCCAAGACGAGUCACGUUCUUCACGAGCCAGGGACGUGACGAAGCGGGUGGUGGGAAGCACGGUACCAGUUCUAGAUGGUGAGGCUUUGUCGAUGAGGGUGCUUGUGGACCACUCCAUUGUGCAGAGCUUUGCGAUGGGCGGGAGGUGCACAAUGACAUCACGGGUGUAUCCGACGGAGGCGAUCUAUGAGGCGGCAGGGGUGUACCUGUUCAAUAAUGGCACCAACAGUAGUGUGGUGGCGGAAAGACUUGUCGUGCACGAGAUGGACUCCGCACCCAACAAGAUCAUCACGGAUGAUAAAUAUUUGCAUUUUGAAUGA